UACGGAGGGUGCAAGCGUUAAUCGGAAUUAUUGGGCGUAAAGGGUGCGUAGGUGGUUAAAUAAGUUAGCUGUAAAAUACCUGGGCUUAACCUAGGAAGGUCAGCUAAAACUGUUAAACUUGAGUAUAGGAGAGGGUAGUGGAAUUUCCGGUGUAGCGGUGAAAUGCGUAGAGAUCGGAAGGAACAUCGGUGGCGAAGGCGUCUACCUGGCCUAAUACUGACACUGAGGCACGAAAGCGUGGGGAGCAAACAGG
rnacentral:rRNA from 1 species